GGGGAGUGGAAUUCCACGUGUAGCGGUGAAAUGCGUAGAGAUCUGGAGGAACACCGGUGGCGAAGGCGACCCCCUGGACUGUGACUGACGCUCAGGAGCGAAAGCGUGGGGAGCAAACAGGAUUAGAUACCCUGGUAGUCCACGCCGUAAACGAUGUCUACUUGGAGGUUGUGCCCUUGAGGCGCGUCUUCCUGAGCUAACGCGUUAAGUCAACCGCCUGGGGAAUACCGCCGCCAGGAUAAAACUCCAAUGAAUUGGCCGGGGCCCGCACCAGCCGUGGAACAUGUGGUUUAAUUCCAUGCAACCCCAAAAACCCUACCUACUCUUGACCUCCCUAGAACUUACCAGAAAUGCUUUCGUGCCUUCCGGAACUCUAAUACCGGUGCUGCCUGGCUGUCCUCCACUCCUGUUCUGAAAAGUUGGGUUAAGUCCCGCAACCAACGCAACCCUUAUCCUUUGUU
rnacentral:rRNA from 1 species